AAAGGAAUAGACGGGGACCCGCACAAGCGGUGGAACAUGUGGUUUAAUUCGACAAUAAGCGAAGAACCUUACCAGGGCUUGACAUCUCUGGAACCCCCUAGAAAUAGGGGGGUGCCUUUUGGAGCCAGAUGACAGGUGCUGCACGGUCGUCGUCAGCUCGUGCUGUGAAGUGUCCCGUUAAGUCGGUUAACGAGCGCAACCCCUAUUGUAUGUUGUAUUUUUCAUACAAGACUGCCGGCGUUAAGUCGGAGGAAGGCGGGGAUGACGUCAGAUCAGCGUGGCUCUUACGUCCUGGGCGACACACGUGUUACAAUGGGUGCUACAAAGGGUUGCUAAACUGUAAAGUGGAGCUAAUCCCAUCAAAAGCACUCUCAGUUCGGAUUGAGGGCUGCAACUCGCCCUCAUGAAGUCGGAAUCGCUAGUAAUCGUAGGUCAGCCAUACUACGGUGAAUACGUUCUCGGGUCUUGUACACACCGCCCGU
rnacentral:rRNA from 1 species